GGAAUAUUGGACAAUGGGCGCAAGCCUGAUCCAGCCAUGCCGCGUGUGUGAAGAAGGCCUUCGGGUUGUAAAGCACUUUCAGUGGUGAGGAAAGGUGUUCGGUUAAUACCCGGAUACUGUGACGUUAGCCACCGAAGACGCACCGGCUAACUCCGUGCCAGCAGCCGCGGUAAUACGGAGGGUGCGAGCGUUAAGCGGAAUAACUGGGCGUAAAGCGCGCGUAGGUGGUUGAGUCAGUCAGAUGUGAAAGCCCCGGGCUUAACCUGGGACCUGCACCUGAUACUGCUUGACUAGAGUACGGUAGAGGGCAGUGGAAUUUCCUGUGUAGCGGUGAAAUGCGUAGAUAUAGGAAGGAACACCAGUGGCGAAGGCGACUGCCUGGACCGAUACUGACACUGAGGUGCGAAAGCGUGGGUAGCA
rnacentral:rRNA from 1 species